rnacentral:rRNA from 1 species
UACGUAGGGUCCGAGCGUUGUCCGGAAUUAUUGGGCGUAAAGAGCUCGUAGGCGGUCUGUCGCGUCGGCUGUGAAAACACGGGGCUCAACUCCGUGCCUGCAGUCGAUACGGGCAGACUAGAGUUCGGUAGGGGAGACUGGAAUUCCUGGUGGAGCGGUGAAAUGCGCAGAUAUCAGGAGGAACACCCGUGGCGAAGGCGGCUCUCUGGGACGGUACUGACGCUGAGACGCGAA